GCUUUAGCAUGUAACCGACUCAUAGCUGGAAUAGGAACAGAGCUUCCACUGCUACGCACAACACCAUUCGGAGGGCGUCCUCUAGCUGGGGAGCAAGAUUGUCGUCUAACCCUUCCAUUUGUAACUGGCUCAAUGGAUGAAGAUCUAGCACUUGGUGCUCCAGGUCUACCCCUUGUAGCUGAAGUUGGCCUGUCAGAUAGUGAUGUCCGUAGAUUUGGUGGAGCAUCAUAGGAGAGCCCUGGGAUAUCUGAAGGCUUCCAUGGUCUGGGUUUUACAGCUGGAGAACUAGGACGUGAGGCUACAGGAUUUCUCGCCGUAGUAGUUGCUGGUGUAACUGAAGACAGAGAUUUAAUUGAAGGAGCAGUAGCAUUAGCUGUACUGGACACUGAAGUAGGCCGACGAGUUGGAGUUGCUGCCCUUGAUGUGGACUUUGAUCCAGGAAUGGAUGCCCUGGUUGUGAGUGUUGAGGAGCUUCUGGUUGGUGUUGAGGACCUUGUACUAGACCUGGCUGUAGGUGUUGAAGAUCUUGUAGGAACCGUAGACUUAGCAGAAGGCAAGGUGGAACGAGAAGUUGGUGUUGAGGACCUUGCUGGCCGAGACAUGGUUGUGGUCGACGUUGUUUUAGAAGUUGCAGUGGAUGUCAUUGCUUUGGAUGCUGCAGUAGAUGUGCGUCUAGUUGCUGAUGUCAAGGAAGAUGUUGCACUUGAUGUGGUUCGUCCAGUUGGAGUUGAAGGUCUUGAUCCACCGGAUGAAGAUGGUCUUCGAAGACCUGAAUUUGAAGUAUUUAACCCGGUAGCAGAAGCAG
rnacentral:misc_RNA from 1 species